GACGAACGCUGGCGGCGUGCCUAACACAUGCAAGUCGAACGGGAUCCAUGAGAGCUUGCUCUCGGAAGAUCUAGUGGCGAACGGGUGAGUAACACGUGAGAAACCUGCCCUGGAGUGGGGAAUAACUCGGGGAAACCCGAGCUAAUACCGCAUACCCUUGGAUGAUCGCAUGGUCGACCAAGGAAAGAUUUAUCGCUCUAGGAGGGUCUCGCGGCCUAUCAGCUAGUUGGUGGGGUAAUGGCCUACCAAGGCAACGACGGGUAGCUGGUUUGAGAGAACGACCAGCCACACUGGGACUGAGACACGGCCCAGACUCCUACGGAGGCAGCAGUGGGGAAUCUUGCGCAAUGGGCGAAAGCCUGACGCAGCAACGCCGCGUGC
rnacentral:rRNA from 1 species